rnacentral:antisense_RNA from 1 species
CACUCUCGCAGAAACUAUCUUCCUUGUAAUAUUUCACACGUUUACCUUCUUUUUCGUGAUCUCUCUCAUCUUUGUAGUCCACACCUUCUACUUCUUCCUCAUUAUCUUCUUCUUCCUCAUUAUCUUCUUCUUCCUCAUUGUCUUCUUCUUCCUCAUUAUCAUUGGCCUCUUCAUUGCUUUCAUAAUCUUCCUGAUCAUUUUCAU